rnacentral:rRNA from 1 species
UACAGAGGUCUCAAGCGUUUGUUCGGAUUUAUUGGGCGUAAAGGGUGCGUAGGCGGCGAGGUAAGUCUGGUGUGAAAUCCUGGGGCUCAACCCCAGAAUUGCACUGGAUACUGCUUUGCUAGAGGACUGGAGAGGAGAUUGGAAUUCACGGUGUAGCAGUGAAAUGCGUAGAUAUCAGGAGGAACACCAAUGGCGAAGGCAGAUCUCUGGGCCGUAACUGACGCUGAGGAGCGAAAGCAUGGGGAGCGAACAGG